rnacentral:rRNA from 1 species
UACGAAGGGGGCUAGCGUUGUUCGGAAUCACUGGGCGUAAAGCGCACGUAGGCGGAUUUUUAAGUCAGGGGUGAAAUCCCGGGGCUCAACCUCGGAACUGCCUUUGAUACUGGAGAUCUUGAGUCCGGAAGAGGUAAGUGGAACUGCGAGUGUAGAGGUGAAAUUCGUAGAUAUUCGGAAGGACACCAGUGGCGAAGGCGACUUACUGGACACAUAUUGACGCUGAGGUGCGAAAGCGUGGGGAGCAAACAGG